GCCGCGUUGGCGUAGGGGUAGCGCGUCUCACUUGUAGCAACAGUAGGAUGCUGGUCCACUACGCGAUGAGAAGGUCACUCGUUCAAUCCGGGUACGUGGCA